UGGGCUUUUAUGAGAACAGUUACAGGGC
rnacentral:piRNA from 1 species